UACCUGCAGCUCAAGUGGUGACCACUAUUAUUGGGCCUAAAACGUUCGUAGCCGGUUUAUUAAAUGCUUGGGUAAAUCGUGUAGCUUAACUAUACGAAUUCCGGGUAGACUGAUAGACUUGAGACCGGGAGAAGCUAGAGGUACUCCUGGGGUAGAGGUGAAAUUCUGUAAUCCUGGGGGGACCACCAGUGGCGAAGGCGUCUAGCUAGAACGGGUCUGACGGUGAGGAACGAAGCCCUGGGGCGCAAACCGGAUUAGAUACCCGGGUAGUCCAGGGUGUAAACGCUGCUUGCUUGAUGUUAGUUGGGCUCCGGGCCCAAUUAGUGUCGGAGAGAAGUUGUUAAGCAAGCUGCCUGGGAAGUACGAUCGCAAGAUUGAAACUUAAAGGAAUUGGCGGGGAGCACAGCAACGGGUGGAGCGUGCGGUUU
rnacentral:rRNA from 1 species